rnacentral:rRNA from 1 species
GACGAACGCUGGCGGCGUGCUUAACACAUGCAAGUCGAACGGAAAGGCCCUGCGUUUGUGGGGUGCUCGAGUGGCGAACGGGUGAGUAACACGUGAGUAACCUGCCCUUGACUUUGGGAUAACUUCAGGAAACUGGGGCUAAUACCGGAUAGGAGCUCCUGCUGCAUGGUGGGGGUUGGAAAGUUUCGGCGGUUGGGGAUGGACUCGCGGCUUAUCAGCUUGUUGGUGGGGUAGUGGCUUACCAAGGCUUUGACGGGUAGCCGGCCUGGGAGGGUGACCGGCCACAUUGGUACUGAGGUACGGCCCAGACUCCUACGGGCGGCAGCAGUGGGGAGUUUUGCGCAAUGGGCGGAAGCCUGAUGCAGCAACGCCGCGUGCGUGAUGACGGCCUUCGGGUUGUAAACCGCUUUCGCCUGUGACGAAGCGUGAGUGACGGUAAUGGGUAAAGAAGCACCGGCUAACUACGUG